AGACCUUCUUGGCCUUUUGGCUAAGAUCAAGCGCAGCAUCCGGGCUGUUUCCUUCUUGAUCUGUUCUUCUUCCGCUUUAUACCUGAU